GAUGAACGCUGGCGGCGUGCCUAAUACAUGCAAGUCGAGCGAAUGGAUUAAGGGCUUGCUCUUAUGAAGUUAGCGGCGGACGGGUGAGUAACACGUGGGUAACCUGCCCAUAAGACUGGGAUAACUCCGGGAAACCGGGGCUAAUACCGGAUAACAUUUUGAACCGCAUGGUUCGAAAUUGAAAGGCGGCUUCGGCUGUCACUUAUGGAUGGACCCGCGUCGCAUUAGCUAGUUGGUGAGGUAACGGCUCACCAAGGCAACGAUGCGUAGCCGACCGGAGAGGGUGAUCGGCCACACUGGGACUGAGACACGGCCCAGACUCCUACGGGAGGCAGCAGUAGGGAAUCUUCCGCAAUGGACGAAAGUCUGACGGAGCAACGCCGCGUGAGUGAUGAAGGCUUUCGGGUCGUAAAACUCUGUUGUUAGGGAAGAACAAGUGCUAGUUGAAUAAGCUGGCACCUUGACGGUACCUAACCAGAAAGCCACGGCUAACUACGUGCCAGCAGCCGCUGUAA
rnacentral:rRNA from 1 species